rnacentral:lncRNA from 1 species
CGCAGGGCUUCCUAGCUCGGGAAGCAGACUCAGAGAGGGUGUGUGGCUUGCCCCAGGUCACACAGCGGGGCAGGGGCCCAGGGCCUAGCCUGCCAGUCCUGUUUCUGCCCCCAUCCUGGGGUUCUGGUGCAGGGUCUCCUGCCUGUGCUGACCAGCAGUAUUCAUGAGGUGCUGGUCAGCUCAGGUGGUGGCAGCAGGGAAGGAGGUGCGCUUGGAGCCAGGCAGCCCCGGAGGCACCACUUUCCAGCUGGGGGUCACUCAACUUUCAGGAAGCCCAGGGUCCUCCUCUGGCAGUGGUGACGGCCCCGGCCUCCAGGAGCGGCCGCAAGGAUUCAGAGCUGAUAAGACUGACAGCUCGGGUCGUGUUGUGUAAGCUGGCUUCGGUGCCUGACGAGAAUCCCAACGCCACCACCUCCUUGGGCCACUCAUCUGACCUCACCAGGCCUCUGUUUCCUAUCUGCAAAAUGGGAACACUGAGUUCACAGGGCUGUGAGUCCCACAUGAACCGCCUUGGCCAGGGCCUGCUCCCUGCAAGGUCCUUUGGUGGGCUGUUAGGGUGAUUGUUGUCAUCUGCCCCCUGGGGGCUGCCAGAUGCAUCCCACCAGCCAGCCCUGGAGAGGGUGGGAUGGGAG